CCUACGGGUGGCAGCAGUGGGGAAUAUUGGGCAAUGGGCGAAAGCCUGACCCAGCAACGCCGCGUGAAGGAAGAAGGCUUUCGGGUUGUAAACUUCUUUUGACAGGGAAGAGCAGACGACGUUACCUGUCGAAUAAGCCACGGCUCACUACGUGCCAGCAGCCGCGGUCAUACGUAGGUGGCAAGCGUUGUCCGGAAUUACUGGGUGUAAAGGGCGUUUAGCCGGGCUGACAAGUCAGAUGUGAAAUCCGUGGGCUCAAACCCCGAACGGCAUUUGAAACUGUUGGCCUUGAGUAUCCGAGAGGAAGGCGGAAUGCGUGGUGUAGCGGUGAAAUGCAUAGAUAGCACGCAGAACUCCGAUUGCGAAGGCAGCAUUCCGGCGCCCGACUGACGCUGAGGCACGAAAGCGUGGGGAUCGAACAGGAUUAGAUACCCUUGUAGUC
rnacentral:rRNA from 1 species